UACGAAGGUCCCAAGCGUUGUUCGGAAUCACUGGGCGUAAAGGGUGCGUAGGCGGCGUGGUAAGUCAGUUGUGAAAUCCCGGGGCUCAACCCCGGAACUGCAUCCGAUACUGCCAUGCUAGAGGAUUGGAGAGGUAGCUGGAAUUCUUGGUGUAGCAGUGAAAUGCGUAGAGAUCAAGAGGAACACUCGUGGCGAAAGCGAGCUACUGGACAAUUCCUGACGCUGAGGCUCGAAGGCUAGGGUAGCGAAAGGG
rnacentral:rRNA from 1 species